rnacentral:lncRNA from 1 species
UCUUUUAUUAACCACACAGACCAGUAUCAACAUCCUUUGAACACAUAUGCAAGAUUUGCAUGAACUCUGAAUUUGGUUAAAACAGGUCUCAGGUCUGUUGCGUCGUGGCGAGUCCUUUUUAACCUUGAAAUACUGAACUAUGGUGCUGUUUGGUUCAAAAAAUGUAACGCAAAUGGUAAUGGUAAUGGUUUCGGCUCGAUUACUGGCGGUAACAAAUUUGAAUAGGCUGGUAUCAAAUUUUAGUGUGGUAUCUGAUUACGGUUGGACUAAAACAAACAUGAUUUAACGUUAUCCGUUACCCAUUACGUUACAAAUAUAUGAACCAAACGGCACCUAUAAUCCUGUGCGAUGUACAAACAACCUUCAGAAUACAUAUUCUCUGAUUUGUCUGUUGUCACCAUAAUUGGCCACUGAUAAAUAACUCUUCCGUUUUAUGAUU